GAUGAACGCUGGCGGCGUGCCUAAUACAUGCAAGUCGAGCGAACAGACGAGGAGCUUGCUCCUCUGACGUUAGCGGCGGACGGGUGAGUAACACGUGGAUAACCUACCUAUAAGACUGGGAUAACUUCGGGAAACCGGAGCUAAUACCGGAUAAUAUAUUGAACCGCAUGGUUCAAUAGUGAAAGACGGUUUUGCUGUCACUUAUAGAUGGAUCCGCGCCGCAUUAGCUAGUUGGUAGGGUAACGGCUUACCAAGGCGACGAUGCGUAGCCGACCUGAGAGGGUGAUCGGCCACACUGGAACUGAGACACGGUCCAGACUCCUACGGGAGGCAGCAGUAGGGAAUCUUCCGCAAUAGGCGAAAGCCUGACGGAGCAACGCCGCGUGAGUGAUGAAGGUCUUCGGAUCGUAAAACUCUGUUAUUAGGGAAGAACAAAUGUGUAAGUAACUAUGCACGUCUUGACGGUACCUAAUCAGAAAGCCACGGCUAACUACGUGC
rnacentral:rRNA from 1 species